rnacentral:sRNA from 1 species
AGCUUUUACCAAUUCUCAGCAAAUACAACCAGCACAGAGGCAAGAAGGAGUAACUCAGUUCGCAAAUGCCACAAUAGAAUCUCUGAACACAAGGAGACGGUAAUGUGUUGCUUUAUUUAUUAGCUUACCUUGAGAAACCAUCUACGACGAAGAUUACGACGACGACGACGAUAAUAACAACAACGACUACAACUAGACCCUUAGAAAUCCAUUAAAAUUCCAACAAAUGGUAAGUAAAAAUGUUACAAGUGGUGCUCUUUUGUCUAGAAAUUAAGAUUCAAAACCAUGGCGCUGUAAACUGUCAGUUAUGCAUUUGGCAGGAGCCACAAAAAGAAACAGAAACAACAACAAAAUAGACAAACAAACAAAAAAUGUAAA